UACGUAGGCAGCGAGCGUUGUUCGGAAUUACUGGGCGUAAAGAGUGUGUAGGCGGUGCUCCAAGUCUGUUGUGAAAUCUCCCGGCUUAACUGGGAGGGUGCGGCGGAAACUAGAGUGCUAGAGGGUGGGAGAGGUAAGCGGAAUUCCUGGUGUAGCGGUGAAAUGCGUAGAUAUUGGGAGGAACACCAGUGGCGAAGGCGGCUCACUGGACCGGUACUGACGCUGAUGCGCGAAAGCGUGGGGAGCAAACGGG
rnacentral:rRNA from 1 species